UACGUAGGCAGCAAGCGUUGUUCGGAAUUACUGGGCGUAAAGAGUGUGUAGGCGGUUUUCUAAGUUCGGUGUGAAAUCUCCCGGCUUAACUGGGAGGGUGCGCCGGAAACUGGAGGACUGGAGUGCCGGAGAGGAUAGCGGAAUUCCUGGUGUAGCGGUGAAAUGCGUAGAUAUCAGGAGGAACACCUGCGGUGUAGACGGCUUUCUGGACCAUUGCUGACGCUGAGACACGAAAGCGUGGGUAGCAGACAGG
rnacentral:rRNA from 1 species